rnacentral:rRNA from 1 species
CAAACUCCAGCGCGAGCGUGACGAGGUUAUCCGAGUGACUCCCGCUGAGGGGGUCUUUUGUCAGCUGUAAAUAGGCAGGCGAAUAAGGGGAGGGCAAGCCUGGUGUCAGCCGCCGCGGUAAUACCAGCUCCUCGAGUGGUCGGGGCGAUUAUUGGGCCUAAAGCAUCCGUAGCCGGUUCCGUAGGUCCUCUGUUAAAUCCAACCGCUUAACGGUUGACCUGCAGAGGAUACCGCGGGACUAGGAGGCGGGAGAGGCGGACGGUACUCCUCGUGUACGGGGAAAAUCCUUUGAUCCGCGGAAGACCACCAGUGAGGAACGCGGGCCGCCGCAACGGAUGCUUUAGGCAGGG